UAAUAAGUGUUUUAUGGCACUUUAUAAAUCCAUAUCCACCUUGUGUGCAAUGUCGGUCGAUCUUCUUUUUUUGAGGAUCGACCAAACAUCAACCUUUAUUUUUUAACUCUUUGUCUGAAAAAUAUUAUGAAUAAACAAUUCAAAAUG
rnacentral:misc_RNA from 1 species